ACCGUCGCCAGCAGCCGCGGUAAUACGGAGGGUGCGAGCGUUAAUCGGAAUUACUGGGCGUAAAGCGCAUGCAGGCGGCCUGUUAAGUCAGAUGUGAAAGACCCGGGGCGUUAACCUCGGAAUUGCAUUUGAAACUAGGCAGGCUAGAGUCUUGUAGAGGGGGGUAGGAAUUUCAGGUGUAGCGGUGAAAUAGCGUAGAGAUCUGAAGGAAUACCAGUGGCGAAGGCGGCCCCCUCGGACAAAGACUGACGCUCAGAUGCGAAAGCGUGGGGAGCAAACAGGAUUAGAUACCCUGGUAG
rnacentral:rRNA from 1 species